AAGACAAAGGAGCAACACAGAGAAUUGGAAAGCAAAAUAUUACCACAAAAGGAGAUCAAGAAUUCAAAUAAGUUAAAAGUCUUCACAAGGCUUUUUAUUGUAGGAAUAUGAAAUUGAACUGUACCUAGAAGACUAUACCAUUAGCUGUGAAAUAAAUAAACAGAGAGAGUCUGGAAAGAAAAUUGAACUAUUUUUUAUAUCUGAUGAUGUGUCUAACCUGACGACAGCCCUGAAAUGGUCUCAAGAGGUCUUCUUUCCCCCUACAGACUCCAAUCACUCAUCUGAAAAACUGAUGGCUCAGUCAAACCUGUGACUCUAUUACAUUGUCCGACACCAAGAAUGCAGUGUUGUGUUUGACUCAGAAAUGUAGGAAGCCUAAUACACACUCCUAGACUGGACUUACAGCAUCAGCAUUGAAUGCUGUAGACCCAAGAUCAUAGUGACAUGACAAAUCUGCCACUGGUUUGAUUAUGUCACUGACUUGAGUGGAACUUGAAUUUCAUCCAGUUCAUAUAGUCAUAAAAAAUGAGGGAAAGUAGAAUACUGAGCAAAGUUUACAGCUUUCCUGUGUUAGAGGCAGUCCUAAG
rnacentral:lncRNA from 1 species